AUGUACAAUUACUUGCCACUGACAGCUCUUUCUUUGAGCAGGUUGUUAGUAAGAAUCAUCGCAAAACACAGGCACAUGCCACCUCUGCAACUUCAGGCCACAACGUAGUGGCUUUGGAAAGCAAGGAAAAGACCUGCUAAACUGGAGGCCCCCAGGGCUACGGAGAAAGUAUAUUAUACACUGGGUGGACAAAAGCCACUGCCUGUAGUAC
rnacentral:lncRNA from 1 species